AUUCUCCUCGCCCCGCACGGGGGUGUACACGGACUGCAAUCCCAGGGAUGCUUGGGGAUGGGGGAUAUAGGAGGAUUUGGACCAAGGAAGGUGGACAGGCAAGUUGUAGGAAAUAGUACCUCUCUUUUAAAAUACUGACUUCGCACAGCCUUUUGGUUUGCAAAGCAAUGUCUAGUCCCGGUGUGUCCAAAAACAAGUAAAGUGGAUUCGGGUUUUGAUAUCUUCUGCGGUUGGAAAACCUGAAGCUGAAAAAGAAGUAACUUCUUAAGGUUACCCAGAGGCCGCAACAGAGUGUAGGUUUGAACUCCGCGUGCCACUUUCAGUACCAUACCAUUCUUACAACUCGGGCCACCCCUGCACCUGUGCCGACCUCAAACAAACUUCCAGGAAAUGCUAGUGAGUCGGAGGAAGACCGCAGCGCCGGCAGUGUGGAGAGCCCGUCCGUCUCCAGCACGCACCGGGUGUCUGAUCCCAAGUUCCACCCCCUCCAUUCAAAGAUAAUCAUCAUCAAGAAAGGGCAUGCUAAAGACAGCCAGCGCUACAAAGUUGACUACGAGUCUCAGAGCACAGAUACCCAGAACUUCUCCUCCGAGUCCAAGCGGGAGACAGAAUAUGGUCCCUGCCGUAGAGAAAUGGAAGACACAUUGAAUCACCUGAAGUU
rnacentral:sRNA from 1 species